GAUAGCUGUAGCUUUCAAGGAGUGGGUGGCAAAUCCUUGUUACAGUAAACAAACUAAUAAACACAGAAAGAGAUGAGGCUCCUUUGGUUAGUCCUACAGAAUAAACAGGGGAUCCAAGAAGAUGACACACGGCUCCGAAUAGGAAAAGUGAGUAAAAACAAAAGUAAAACAGAAAUCGCAGUGCUGGACGCAGCUCCAGGGAAAUAAGUGCUCGGUGGGAUGAUCCAGAGUCUGCCAGAUACUGUGACCCAGGCUAACGGCUGCUUGAAUUGUAGCCAGGACCUGCUAAGAAGCUCUUUUCCUGUUCAGAUCCCACUCAAGCCUAACAGCGUCUGAAUCUCCUGGUAUGUGGGCCCAUAUAGUAUUUCUGAGUCUGGAGUGUGCUGCCUUUGAAAUUCUAGAAGGCUCUCCAGACUUUGUAUUUUUGUCUCUAUGAUAGGAGAUACAAAAUGUAGUCAUCUUUUACUGUCAUACUGCACAUGUCCAAACUAUCCUUUAUUGUCCAUCAUUGUACUAUGUUUCCUCUAUAGUGCAUCAGUAUAACAAGAAUAAUCAUCUAAAUCCAUUGUUCUUAUGAUAUUUUCCCAAUCCCAAUCCCCCAAUCCUUCAAAUGACUUGAUCCUUACCUGUGAGGGUGUUCCCUUCCACCAAGGCAUUUCCCUACCACUGCCAAUGAAAUAUUAAGCAACGUGUCACCACUUUAUGUUCUAUAUUGUUCUUAGGAUUGGAUUCUCCUUGCUAGCCAGGCAGCAAGUGACCCAGUCCACCCAAUUCAUCUUUUUGCUUUUCUUAAACUACUCUCAGAACCCAUGUUCACUGUUCACAUUAUCUGAGAAGAAAACAUCAAGAUAUAAUUAAACACAAGUAAGAUUUAUUAUGGUAAAUUCCUGUUGAGGUAACAGAGGGAGGGCUCAAGAGUGAUAGAAAGCCUAGUGACAUGAUGCAGGUCUAAUACCAAUGGAGAAAAAAGAAGAGGAUGGAAUAGGAAGGGCUCAUGUUAUAGAAUUAUUCUGAGAAAAUGGACAGAGAGAUCCUGAGAAUGGUUUCUCCUUAUAGGCAUGACAUAUUGGGCAGAUAUUCCAUCUUUAUACCCUUGACAUGAUCAGUGACUGGCCGCAGACCUGAUGAAAUAUAGCUUUAGCCUAAGCCCCAUGGAGAACCCAAAGUUGUGCAGUUGGAGGCUCUCAGUUUUCUCAGUUUUCCUGAACAGUAGUUCCCCUUGAAGGAAUAUCUAAGUGGUAUGCACUAUGUACAGAUACCACAAUGGAACUUCAAAAAGAAAAAAAAAAAC